AAUAUCAAAAACGAUUGCAAUUUACGAUGAUUGGUUUAUACUUAAUUUAUGUUGGCGUAUAAGAGCAAUUUUUAUUGGAGAUGGGGGGGGGUUAUUAUGUUAUGAUAAUGUCAUGUCGGUAUGACCACCGAUUAGAUUUACUAAAUCUGUAGUUUAACAAUAUUAAAUAUUUAAUUUUUAUAGUAUUAUAAACAAUUUAACGCAGUGAGUUAAUCUCGAGAAGCGGUAGUUCUUAUAAAAAUAUUUUAUCUAUCUCUUUAUAUUCGUAUAGCAUAUAGGCUGUUUCAUUAAACAAACUCACCCACAUUUUUAAUACCUAUUUUUUUUUUUCAAAUUCUGAUUUUUGGAGCUUUUAGUAUGUUAAAGAUCGUCAUUUUUAAAAGUUAAAUUGUUAAUAUAAUUUACCCCUUCGGCAUCAACAUUUUUUUUUCAAAUGAAAACUAAUAUAUUUUAUUAUUAAAAAGUCGAUUUGUUUUUAAAUGUUGAUGAAUUUACGAGUAUAUAAAAUUUCGAACUUGUAGUUUUUAAAUUAUUAAAUUGUAUAUUACCAAGGACAGUAAAUAAAGACCUUAAAAUGGUCCUAAAAAAUAUAAAAUAUAAUACUAGACCCAUCAAACUGUAAUACAUUUAAUAUAUUAAAAUAAUUAUGGUAUUAUUAUAUAAAAUAUAAUUUAUUGGUAAAUAAUUAAUAUCUAGUACCCAUGUUUUGUUACGCGUUUUUAAUUUUUUCUCCAAAAAAUUGGCGUUUAAUCCAUAGAAUACUCUAUGGUUUAAUCAUCGGUGAUCGAUAUAAAUUUAUUUAAUAUCUAUAGUAACCGGUGUUUUAUUCUAUUACACUAUUCAAUACUAUUGUGUAAUGUUUUAUUUCUAUGACGCGUAUAAUUACUAUUCUACUAUUGCAUAAUAUGUUAUUCUAGUUUUAUCGUUGCAUUAGAGGUACUUUAGCAGUUUUAUGUUUCUAAGUUUCUAACUACUCGAACUCUGAGUAUAGUUUUAGAAAAGUUGAGAUUUCUAAAAUAAUAUUUUAUAACAUAAUCAAUUGAAAUGAUUUAAUGUUCAUCACGAUCGUUAAAUUCAACUACCAGUUCACAAUCAAACAAAAUUGGAUGAUCUCUGUGUUUGACAAAAUAAGAGAUUCAAAAAAAAAAAAAAACAAUUAAAUUAGCUAGAAAAGAAAUGUUCCUUUAACAGUAAUGGUUUGACGAGAGGGUGUCAAUCAUAAUAUUAUUAUUCCACUGACGUGCGGUCAAAAUAGUGAACCACACAGACGUGUUUAAUCAAAGCACACUGCCAAUGUCGUAUCCGCGGCCAAUCGUAUAUAUUAUA